GAGUUUGAUCUUGGCUCAGGAUGAACGCUGGCGGCGUGCCUAAUACAUGCAAGUCGAACGAACAGAUAAGGAGCUUGCUCCUUUGACGUUAGCGGCGGACGGGUGAGUAACACGUGGGUAACCUACCUAUAAGACUGGGAAUAACUCCGGGAAACCGGGGCUAAUGCCGGAUAACAUGUUGAACCGCAUGGUUCUACAGUGAAAGACGGUCUUGCUGUCACUUAUAGAUGGACCCGCGCCGUAUUAGCUAGUUGGUGGGGUAACGGCCUACCAAGGCGACGAUACGUAGCCGACCUGAGAGGGUGAUCGGCCACACUGGAACUGAGACACGGUCCAGACUCCUACGGGAGGCAGCAGUAGGGAAUCUUCCGCAAUGGGCGAAAGCCUGACGGAGCAACGCCGCGUGAGUGAUGAAGGUCUUCGGAUCGUAAAGCUCUGUUGUUAGGGAAGAACAAAUGUGUAAGUAACUGUGCAUAUCUUGACGGUACCUAACCAGAAAGCCACGGCUAACUACGUGCCAGCCGCCGCGGU
rnacentral:rRNA from 1 species